rnacentral:rRNA from 1 species
CUCAGGACGAACGCUGGCGGCGUGCUUAACACAUGCAAGUCGAACGAUGAACCACUUCGGUGGGGAUUAGUGGCGAACGGGUGAGUAACACGUGGGCAAUCUGCCCUUCACUCUGGGACAAGCCCUGGAAACGGGGUCUAAUACCGGAUAUGAGCCUGGGAGGCAUCUCCCGGGUUGUAAAGCUCCGGCGGUGAAGGAUGAGCCCGCGGCCUAUCAGCUUGUUGGUGAGGUAAUGGCUCACCAAGGCGACGACGGGUAGCCGGCCUGAGAGGGCGACCGGCCACACUGGGACUGAGACACGGCCCAGACUCCUACGGGAGGCAGCAGUGGGGAAUAUUGCACAAUGGGCGAAAGCCUGAUGCAGCGACGCCGCGUGAGGGAUGACGGCCUUCGGGUUGUAAACCUCUUUCAGCAGGGAAGAAGCGAAAGUGACGGUACCUGCAGAAGAAGCGCCGGCUAACUACGUGCCAGCAGCCGCGGUAAUACGUAGGGCGCAAGCGUUGUCCGGAAUUAUUGGGCGUAAAGAGCUCGUAGGCGGCUUGUCACGUCGAUUGUGAAAGCCCGAGGCUUAACCUCGGGUCUGCAGUCGAUACGGGCUAGCUAGAGUGUGGUAGGGGAGAUCGGAAUCCUGGG